rnacentral:rRNA from 1 species
UGCGUAGGGAGCGAGCGUUGUCCGGAAUUACUGGGCGUAAAGGGUGCGUAGGCGGCAUGGCAAGUCAGAUGUGAAAUCCCCGGGCUUAACUCGGGAGUUGCAUUUGAAACUGCCGUGCUUGAGUGCAGGAGAGGAAAGCGGAAUUCCUAGUGUAGCGGUGAAAUGCGUAGAUAUUAGGAGGAACACCAGUGGCGAAGGCGGCUUUCUGGACUGUAACUGACGCUGAGGCACGAAAGCGUGGGGAGCAAACAGGAUUAGAUACCU